ACAAAAUAUGUCAAAAGAAGUUAUCAACUCCUAUUGAGGUUUUAUGCAAGUCUCAUCCUGUUGAGUUUGCUUCGUAUUUCCAUUACUGUCAUUCGUUGACAUUUGAUCAGCGGCCUGAUUAUGGAUUUUUAAAGCGCCUAUUCCGUGAGCUGUUUACCCGUCAAGGAUAUGAAUUUGAUUACAUAUUUGAUUGGACCAUCCUGAAGUACCAACAGGCACAAACAAGUAAACCACAGCACCGGCAAGUUGUCGGUGAGAGCAGCCGGGCAAUUCCAAUGGAUGUUGAAAAGCGUCAAGUUUCUACAGGCAACAAUGGACCUUAUGUUGCUGAGGUGACUGAUCGCAUUAGACCGAACAAUCCUUCCAGUCCUGGAAUCCGUAUGCAAUUUAAAUCACCAACUAACAGGAAUUUAACUUCUGCCAAUCUUGAGAGAAAUGUACUAAGUAGUGCACACAUGCCAUCUACUUCAUUAGCUCCUGUUUUACCAAGAGCAAAAGCCACAAAACCUGCAGUACCUGCUGAAACAACUCAUGAUGGUGAUAAUGGCAGCAGCUGGAUUUCCUCCUUGCGACGUAUUUCUUCUGCAAAGUGAUAAAAAGGAUUAAGAUGAAGGUGACAAUUGGGCAGCUCAUCCUUAUUCUGUGAUUACAAGCUUGUAUGGAUGAUUCGGGUGGCUGAUCAGGGCCCUGAUUUUCGCAAUUUCACAAGCUGAAGAGGGUGUGGACUGAGCUGGACAUGAGAGCAGAUGGCAGCAGCUGUUUGUCUUUCUUUGGGAGCUCGGGAUUUCCAUUUGAAGACGAUAUGCUAUGAGAUGUGGUUUCAGUCGGAGUCAUGGCUUCCUUGGAUUUGAUCAAGUUCAGAAGAGCAGGAAGUAGUGAUUGCAUUAAUUCGUUGAUUGUGCGAUGGAUCGAGUAUGUAAAGGUCAAGUAUCCACUGGCACCAUAUCAUUAAACAAGUCGAAUGGUUGCUUCGGCUGGCUGACAACUCUGGGUACCUUGCUGCCCGAGCUUUUAUUCCUUCUUUCGAGUGUCUUGUGAAAGCUAGACUUGCUAGGCUCGAGAGGAAGUUACAUUGACAAACUGUAUGCCUUCUCAAGUGCGAUCGGGUAAUAUCUGCUAUAACCAAGAAGCUUAUUAAAGCUGCAGAAGGGGAAAAACUAGGGUCCUCUUAAUUGGCUUGAACUGAAUCUCAGGUCUUCUUGACUUGUCACUUGUCAGGACCUGUACUGGGAUUUGUGCUGAUUUCAUUCUCAGCAAGGUUUUCCCCUGCUGUGCUGCUGGAGGAAUAAUUGCUUACACAUUUAAGUCCUAAGUCCUAGGAUAUAUAGAAAUCAAUAAGUGGCUAUGAGCGGUGAAAUCCUCGUCUCGUGCCCACCCAUUUCUACAGUUCACCAUUUAUGCCUGUGUUUGCACCCUUGGUGCCGACAUGGUUUGUGCAGUGGUUUAAUAGGCAACUAUGUUAUAUCGUCGUGCUCCUGACCAGAGACACUGGAUUCUCUUUCAAGCAGCGUCUUUCCUGCUUCCAAUUCAUGGACGCCUGCCUGUCUAUUCUAUUAAAUUCGAUAUUUCAACUGGAUCUUGGAAUUCUGACAUCACUCGUGCUAUCCAAAGAGAGCAACUUCUGUUUUCUAAAUUUGGAAACCUAAUAUGUCAUUGUCUGUGAUUGCUGUUAACUUUGAACAAUGAGAUCUGGGGAAAGCUAAUGUUCUACGCUCCGACACAGUAACUGAUCACGCCACUAACGAUCCAGGUACCUCCACUCAGGCGCACUAUCCUUGAGGCAGGGAGAGCUACGGAGACUUCGAGUUACAUCUACAGCGUCCACAGACCGAAGAGUCUCCUUCUUUACGGAACACAUGCCGGUUUAUUAAGUCUCGCUGAUCGGUAAAACAAACUUUUGGCGCAAAAAAAACUUAGCCAAACAGGCUAAUAAUUAUGUUGUAACUUUUGGUUGAAAAUUUAUAAAAUUUGUGGAAGGAUUUGAAAUAAAAUUUUCACCUGUUUCUUUUAAAACAGACGCAUGUAUUCUCCUCUUCAGUCUUCUCCA